rnacentral:rRNA from 1 species
AACAUAGCUUCUUGAAACCAUAAGAAGUACCGCCUGCCCAGUGUAUUAAUAUUAACGGCCGCGAAAGUGCUAAGGUAGCAUAAUAAUUUGUUUUUUCAUUGAAGACUAGUAUGAAAGGCAUAACGAAGCUUAACUGUCUCCUUAUAUUUAAUUAAAUCUGAUUCAAAAGUGAAAAAUCUUUUAUUUCUGUGUAGGACAAAAAGACCCUAUAGAGUUUCAGUAAAAUAUAAAUUAUUUAUAAUUAUAUUUACUUUUAUUGGGGCAAUAAAAGAACAUAAAAAAUCUUUAAUUUUAUAUACCCUCCAAGAGAAUAAAAAAAACUACCUUAGGGAUAACAGCGUAAUUUUACCAGAGAGUUCUAAUUGAAGGUAAGGAUUGCGACCUCGAUGUUGGACUAAGGAAACUUUUAUAUGCAAAAGUAUAAAGAUGUAAGCCUGUUCGGCUUUUAAAACCUUACAU